ACACGACUACAUUAGAUACCCGGGUAGUCCCAGCCCUAAACGAUGCGCGUUAGGUGUAUCGGUGACCACGAGUCACCGGGGUGCCGAAGGGAAACCGUGAAACGUGCCGCCUGGGAAGUACGGUCGCAAGGCUGAAACUUAAAGGAAUUGCGGGGGAGCACCACAACGGGUGGAGCCUGCGGUUUAAUUGGACUCAACGCCGGGAAGCUCACCGGAUAAGACAGCGGAAUGAUUGCCGGGCUGAAGACCCUGCAUGACCAGCUG
rnacentral:rRNA from 1 species